ensembl:snRNA U6 U6 spliceosomal RNA
GGACAUUCGUCGUGCUCAUACACUAAAAUUGGAAUGACACAGAGAAGAUUAGCAUAGCCCCUGUGCAAAGAUGACAUGCAAAUUUGUGAAGGACGUUAGGACAUUUGU